GCUGUUAAAAAAGUAAAUUACUUAUUUGACUCCCUUGGUUGCGUUCAAGAUAGUGAGGAAGAAUUAGGCCUACACUCAGAUCAUAUAUCUACCAGGCAUGCCUCAGAUUCUGAGGAGCCAUGUGCUGAGUCAUCAUCAGAGGUGGAUUCUGAUGAUAAUCAAUCUGAUGAUGGGAAUUUAGUGAGUGACGAUUUGGUUGCUUCACUGGCAGGCUGGGCUGUAAAUUUUGGAAUCUCUCUGAUUGCUUUGUCUGCCCUUUUGACUAUACUUAGGGUGCAUCUCCCUUUCCUUCCUAAAGAUGGUAGAACUCUGCUUAGAACAAAAACCUCGUACAAGACUCAAAUGAUAGCUGGUGGAGAUUUUCAUUACUUCGGUAUACUAAAUUCACUAAAGACAGCAUUUGAAAACAUGUGGUCCAAAGUUCCUGACCAACACAUUUUUAGACUGCAGUUAAACUUUGAUGGCAUUCCACUGUUUAAUAGCAACUCUGUACAGUUUUGGCCAAUACUUGGUAUUCUUCAAGACUGUAAGGUAAAGAGGCCCUUCGUAAUCGGACUGUUCUGUGGUAGCUCUAAACCAAAAUCUUUAAACGAAUAUUUGAAAGAUCUUGUAAGUGAAUUGAAAACACUGAGCUGUGGGUUUGGCAUUAAAGGCAAAUGGUUCUUUUUAAAAGUUAGUUCUGUUGUAUGUGAUGCACCUGCUAGGGCUUUUAUCAAAGCCAUCAAGAGUCACACUGGCCACUCUGCCUGUGGUAAAUGUACUCAAACUGGCUUGUAUCUCAAACACCGAAUGACCUUUCCUGAAAUGAAUGCCCCACUUAGGACAGACCUCUCUUUCCGGCAGAUGAUAGAUGAAGACCAUCAUGUUGCCAAGUCUCCUCUAAUAGAAACAAACAUUGACAUGGUUGGUGGUUUUCCUCAUGACUACAUGCAUCUGGUUUGUCUUGGGAUGAUGCGGAGACUUUUAGAUCUUUGGCUGAGUUCAGGGCCACUCCGUGUUCGAUUAUCUUCCCGGCUGAGUCAAGUAAUUUCAGAUUCUCUUGUAGGGUUGAGAUUUUACAUACCUUCUGAUUUUGCACGUAAACCAAGACCAUUAACACAUAGACUGAGGUGGAAAGCUACAGAACUUAGGCAGUUCUUGUUAUACACUGGUCCAGUGGUCCUUUGUAAUGUCCUGGCCCCACCAGUGUACAGCCAUUUUAUGCUUUUGUCAGUUUCUGUUUAUAUUCUUCUCAGUCAGAAAUUUUGCUUUCUGUUAAAUGACUUUGCUCAUACAUGUCUAGUGUCUUUUGUUGAACAUUUUGGCGUGUUAUAUGGUCAGGAAUUUCUUUGUUACAAUGUGCAUGGAUUAGUGCACCUCUGUGAGGACGUGAAGCAGCAUGGUAAUUUAGAUGAAUUUUCUGCUUUUCCUUUUGAAAAUUUCUUGGGCACUCUUAAAAAGCUUGUCAGAAGACCUAGCAAUCCUUUAGCCCAAGUCAUUCGCAGGCUAUCCGAGAU
ensembl:lncRNA